rnacentral:rRNA from 2 species
ACUUUGCAAUGUGCGAAAGCACGACAAGGUUAAUCCGAGUGGUUUCUGCUAAAGGAACCUUUUGCCAGUCCUAGAAACACUGGUGAAUAAGGGGUGGGCAAGUUCUGGUGUCAGCCGCCGCGGUAAAACCAGCACCUCAAGUGGUCAGGAUGAUUAUUGGGCCUAAAGCAUCCGUAGCCUGCUUUGUUAGUUUUCGGUUAAAUCUAUUCGCUCAACGAAUAGGCUGCCGGGAAUACUGCAAAGCUAGGGAGUGGGAGAGGUAGACGGUACUCGGUAGGAAGGGGUAAAAUCCUUUGAUCUAUUGAUGACCACCUGUGGCGAAGGCGGUCUACCAGAACACGUCCGACGGUGAGGGAUGAAAGCUGGGGGAGCAAACCGGAUUAGAUACCCGGGUAGU